CACUGCAGAGUGGAUGAAAGGCACACUGACUAGACUGAGAAACUCAGACACAUCAUACUAAGAGUUCAUCAUGACAUUUACUACAGUGUUUCUUCUGAUGAUAAUAGGCCUGACAGGUGUUCAGAGUCAGACAUUGACUGAGUCUGGACCAGUGGUUAAAAAGUCUGAAGAAUCACACAAACUGACCUGUACAGCCUCUGGUUUAGAUAUAAAUGGCUACUGGAUGGCUUGGAUCAGACAGGCUCCUGGGAAAGGACUGGAGUGGAUUGCAGCUAUUACUGGCAGUGAUGGUGGCAGCACUUACUACUCCCAGUCUGUUCAGGGUCGGUUCACCAUCUCCAGAGACAAUAGCAUGAAACAGGUGUAUCUCCAGAUGAACAGCCUGAAGACUGAAGACUCUGCUGUUUAUUAUUGUGCCAGAGACACAGUGACACAUGAGGCUGCUGCUCUGUACAAAAACUAAUCAAACACUUCUCUCAAGUUAAAUCAAAUCUUAUUGGUCACAUACAUU